rnacentral:rRNA from 1 species
CCUACGGGAGGCAGCAGUGAGGAAUAUUGGUCAAUGGCCGCAAGUCUGAACCAGCCAAGCCGCGUGCAGGACGACGGCUCUAUGCGUUGUAAACUGCUUUUGUCCGGGGACAAACGCAGACACGAGUGCCUGACUGAGAGUACCGUAAGAAAAAGCAUCGGCUAACUCCGUGCCAGCAGCCGCGGUAAUACGGAGGAUUCGAGCGUUAUCCGGAUUUAUUGGGUUUAAAGGGUGCGUAGGCGGACGGGUAAGUUAGCGGUAAAAUCCCGGGGCUCAACCUCGGACUUGCCUUUGAUACUGUCUGUCUUGAGAGGAGGUGCGGUAUGCGGAAGGGGUGGUGUAGCGGUGAAAUGCUUAGAGAGUAUGCAGAACACCGAUUGCGAAGGCAGCAUACCGGGGGACUUCUGACGCUGAGGCACGAAAGCGUGGGUAGCGAACAGGAUUAGAUACCCCAGUAGUC